rnacentral:misc_RNA from 1 species
GAUGAAGAACGUAGCGAACGUGCGAAACGUAAUGUGAAUUGCAGAAUUCAGUGAAUCAUCGAAUCUUUGAACGCAUCUUGCGCUCCUUGGCAUUCCGAGGAGCAUGCCUGUUUGAGUGUCGUGAAUACUCUCAACUUCAACCCUUUUUUCGGAAAGGGAGGAAGGUUGGACUUGGGUGUUUGUUGAAGUGCGAGCUUCGACUCAUCCUAAAUGCAUUAGCGAUCUGCCUCGAUCACACACAAUGUGAUAAUUAAAACUAAAGCAUUGUUUAAUGAUCAAGUCGAGACUGCUUCUAACUGUCGCAAGACAAUAACGUGCAUACAUUUGUGCAUGUCAUUUGACCUCAAAUCAGGUAGGACUACCCGCUGAACUUAAGCAUAUCAAUAAGCGGAGGA